rnacentral:rRNA from 1 species
CUACGGGUGGCUGCAGUCGGGAAACUUUUACAAUGCGCGAAAGCGUGGUAGAGCUAGUCAGAGUGCAUUCCUAAUAUUUGGAAUGCUUUUAUGGGAUGUAAAAAUUCUCAUGAAUAAGGACCGGGCAAGACUGGUGCCAGCCGCCGCGGUAAUACCAGCGGUCCAAGUCGCAGCCACAAUUAUUGGGUCUAAAACAUCCGUAGCUUGUUUAGUAAGUCUCUUGUGAAAUCUGGCCUCUCAAGGGUCAGGCUUGCAGGAGAUACUGCUUUGCUAGAGACCGGGAGACGUAAGGAGUAUGAAUGGGGUAGCGGUCAAAUGCGUUGAUCCUAUUCAGACUAACAACAGCGAAGGCACCUUACGAGAACGGAUCUGACAGUGAGGGAUGAAGGCUAGGGGCGCAAAACGGAUUAGAUACCCGGGUAGUC